rnacentral:rRNA from 1 species
UGCGUAGGCGGGUCUUUAAGUCAGGGGUGAAAUCCUGGAGCUCAACUCCAGAACUGCCUUUGAUACUGAGGAUCUUGAGUCCGGGAGAGGUGAGUGGAACUGCGAGUGUAGAGGUGAAAUUCGUAGAUAUUCGCAAGAACACCAGUGGCGAAGGCGGCUCACUGGCCCGGUACUGACGCUGAGGCACGAAAGCGUGGGGGAGCAAACA